UACGUAGGGGGCAAGCGUUAUCCGGAUUCACUGGGCGUAAAGGGAGCGCAGGCGGCAUGGCAAGUCUGAUGUGGAAACCCGGGGCCCAACCCCGGGAGUGCAUUGGAAACUGCCAGGCUGGAGUGUCGGAGGGGUAAGCGGAAUUCCUAGUGUAGCGGUGAAAUGCGUAGAUAUUAGGAGGAACACCAGUGGCGAAGGCGGCUUACUGGACGACUACUGACGCUGAGGCUCGAAAGCGUGGGGAGCAAACAGG
rnacentral:rRNA from 1 species